rnacentral:rRNA from 1 species
CAGCCGCCGCGGUAAAACGAAGGGGGCUAGCGUUACUCGGAAUUACUGGGCGUAAAGGGCGCGUAGGCGGCACGAUUAGUCAGGCGUGAAAUUCCUGGGCUCAACCUGGGGACUGCGCUUGAUACGGUCGAGCUAGAGGAUGGAAGAGGGUCGUGGAAUUCCCAGCGUAGAGGUGAAAUUCGUAGAUAUUGGGAAGAACACCGGUGGCGAAGGCGGCGACCUGGUCCAUUACUGACGCUGAGGCGCGACAGCGUGGGGAGCAAACAGGAUUAGAUACCCCUGUAGUCCCUGUCUCUUAUAC